UGCAAUGGGCCAGGCGCCCUGCAGCAAAGGAAAACAAAUGAGAUCCAGCCCGGUCUCCGUGGAAGGAGGAAGGCGUGAAACUUCUUGGGAAAACAAGACCCGCACACAAUACUGGGACACAGACACAGACAGGCAUGGAGGCAAGAUGAUGUGAAGAGACACCGGGGGAAAAGAGCCACCCACAAAGCAAGGAGAGGCCCAGCACAGAUCCUGUCCUCACAGCCCUCAGAAGGAACCAGCUCUGCCUACACCUGGAUUUUGGACGUCUAGCCUCCAGAACUGUGUGCCCACACAGAUGUGUUGGUGAAGCCACCCAGUGUGUGGAGUUUUGUUCUGGCAGCCCCAGCACUUUAUUCCUGUGCUAUGAGCCUCAGUGGUUUCUUACAGCCCAUUUGUCACCAGUCGAGUGUGCCAGGAGCAGGUGCUGAGACAAGAUUUGGGGUGCAAAAUGUUUAUUAGGGAUCAAACCCUGUAAGAGGAAGGGGAAGGAGCCAUCAUAAGAAACAAAUGCAAAUGACAUGACACCAGUUAACUUAUAUGGCCAGCUAGUCCUGCUUUAAAAAUAGAAAAAGCUCAAAAUAAUUAAUAUCAGAAAAAGUAUAGAUGAUCUUCAAACUUGAUUUAUACCUAUUACACUCUUUAUUAGUUUAUAAAGAGUAUAACAUAAUUAAGGGUUUAUCUAUUUUCAUAUGGAGGGAGCUUUAUAAUCUACUAGUAUUACUUGGAUGGAAUUUUUAAUGCUAAUAACAAUAUUUUAUGAAUGUUAAGGCAAUACUAAUAUUUAGUUAGAAUUUAAGUCAAUAUAAUUUAAGGUAAAUAUUUUUUUCAAAAAAGGAUGGGGAAGGGAUUAAGAUUGGGCAGAGGGAAAAGUUGAAUGAUAAUGUACAUGCAAGGAGGCAUCAAGCAAACCAGUAUUGAGCUCUGGACUUAAUAUUGUCCACCAGGGUUGUCUUGCAUUGGGUCAAAAUGACUGGGCCUUUCUCCCCAUCAGGCUCAGUCACUGGAUACAGGCUGCCACAGGAAGGGUGGCCUCAGGCAAGGAGGCUCUACUGAAGCCGACCCUGAAGGAGUGGGCAGUGGAGGUUUCCUUGAAGGGAACCUGUCUACACAUCUCACAUCUCCCACGCUGCUCGUGGGAUAGUGAAGAACAGUACACCGCUAAAAUAUUUUAGCCAAUCUACAUAUCUUGAAUACCUUUAAUUUCAUCAACAAGAGUCCAUUUCUAAUACCAUACUUUUUAACAAACUAAUUUCAACAAUAAAAAUUAAUUUCUGACAUUCAAAUG